AACGCACCUUGCGCUCUCUGGUAUUCCGGAGAGCAUGUCUGUUUGAGUGUCAUGAACUCUUCAACCCACCGGUUCCUUGUUGGAUCGAGUUGGUGUUUGGAUUUUGAGCCUCUUGCUGUUUGUUCAGCUGGUUCGUAAUAUAUUAGCAUCUUGAGCUUCAAUCUCGGAUUGACUCGGCGUAAUAGACUAUUCGCUGAGGACACCUUUCAUUAGGUGGCCGACUUUGGACAACUUAAAAUGAGAAGCUUCUAAAGCGUCAUACUUUUUUAAGAUUUAGACCUCAAAUCAGGCAGGAUUACCCGCUGAACUUAA
rnacentral:misc_RNA from 1 species